AAGGAAUCUUCAUUUUAUUCAAGUUAAUCUUAUAUGAAGCAUCAUGAAAUAGAAUGAAAAUGGUCAAAGCUCAUCUGAUUGCAACAGAAUUCAGGCCAAGAGCCACCAAAGAACUGAUGUCUGCCAAAACCCAUAUGAAGGAUCUUGCAUACAGGUUCACAAGCCUCAUUUGAGCUUUGAGGUGUCAGACUCACCAGCUAACAGUUUGGGCGCAAUCUCUUAGUUUCCAGAGCCAGAAGUUCUCACGUAAGCUACUCCAAGAAUUUCAAUCUUGACCCACAGAAACUUGAUCAGUGUUAGCAAACAGCUUCUCUGGAACUGAGCAUCUAUCCAGCAAGCCUCCUGCCAUCUACAGGCAAAAUAAAAAUUCCUCAUUGCAAAGGUGAAGAAUUAAACAUUGAUGGAGAGUGAUAGUGAAGAGAUGAAAAAGAGAGAUACUUUAGUUCUCUUUGGGAACCUUGGAACUGAAGAAGGAAUGCAGCGUACUGUUUUCUGAAAUCUGAUACUAGAAAAGACCUAGAGCGAUUUGGUAAUGAUGGGAUUUAGUAUGUUCUUGAAUUCCCUAACUUAUAUAUUGACAGGGUCUGCCUUUGUCACCUAGGCAGGAGUUCAGCAGUGCCAUCAUUGCUCGCUGCUGCAGCCUUAACCUCUCGAGCUCAAGCUGUCCUCCCACCUCAGCCUCCUGAGUACCUGCAACUACAGGCAUGUGCCACCAUGGCCAGCAUUUUUGCAUUUUUUUGUAGAUAUGGGGGUCUCAUUAUGUUUCCCCGGCUGGUCUCCAACUCCUGAGCUCAAGCAAUCUGCCUGCCGCGACCUCCCAAAGUCCUGGGACUACAGGCAUGAGCUACCAGAUCCGGACCAUACAUUGUCUUUUAAUGUUGUCUAUCCUCUUAUAUUAGUUUUAUGCUGUUACUCUGAAAAUGUUAUGUUUUAAUUUUUAGUUCAAUUGUAUUUAUAUAUAUAUAUAAAACCGUCAUACAUAUGCUUUGAGAAUAUGCAUUAUAUAUAAUAUGUAAUAUGCAUUGAGAAGUUUUUUAAAUUUUCCGAUAUUUUAUCUUUAUUUGCCAGCAAGAUUUAUUAUUAAAAAUGUAAUUAUAGCAACAUUUAUGUCAUUUCUCUACAUGUUCAGCAUUCUUUUCAUCUAUUAUAAGGAAAUAAUAAAUGCUUGAUAUGGAAUGUUUUAUACAUAAAAUAUACAAAGUAAUGCUAUAUUGAGCAUCAAUUUACCUGUGACUCAACUAAAGAAGGAAAAUAGAUAAUUUUAAGUCAAGUCAAUAUUUUGUUGUUGGUAGACCUUUUCAAUGAGAGUCCUAUUUGAACUAUUCUUAUCUCCCACUCUUCUUUGCAGUAAUAUUCCCUAAGUAACAGACUUUACUCAUUUUUGACUGAGUUGUGAUUUUUAAAGAAUAUAUGUUUCAAAAGAUCAAAUGUGAAUUUCUCUUUUACCUUCUCUCUUACCACUUAGUCUAUUGACACAGUCUCCUAGAUCUGCAACUGCUGUGUUUACGUACAGAUUAAGCCCAACAUUAGUUAAAAUUCCGUUCUAUGCUUAGUAUUCAUCUAAUGCACAGAUGUUUGUCUUCCCUCUCAGUAAAAUAUAUUUCUCAUACAACACUCUUUAUUAGUCUUUCUUAUUUAUCUAGUUGUUUGUUUCUGAGGGUUUUGUAUCUAAAUAAUUUUGGAAUGAUAAUGGUUGUGGAAUAAUUUUCCCAUGUUCUCUGACAGUUUCAGAAAGCAGUAACUGCAUAGCAGAGGGCAGAGGGAUAGAGCUCCAACUUAGUAUUAGAAGUUCAUAGGCUUGAGGCCGGGUGUGGUGUCUCAUGCCUGUAAUCCCAGUACUUUGGGAGGCCGAGGUAAGCACAUCACUUCAGGUCAGGAGUUCCAGACCAGUCUGGUCAACAUGGCAAAGCCCCAUCUUUACUAAAAUUACAAUAAUUAGCUGGGUGUAGUGGCGCACGCCUGUAAUCCCAGCUACUUGGGAGGCUGAGGCAUGAAAAUCGCUUGAACCCCAGAAGUGAAGGUGGCAGUGAGCCGAGAUCACACCACUGCACUCCAGCCUGGGUGACAGAGUGAGAUUCUGUUUCAAAAGGAAAAAAAAUAAAGGAAGUUGAUGGGCUUGGAUACUAGUCUCUACUGAAAUACAAAUUAUGUCUUUUACCCUGUUUGGAAAAGAUUUACUUGGAAGGAAAUAUCUGGCUAACACAUCCUAUUAAAUCUAGUUUAAUAGCUCUUUCUGCCUUUGAAGGAAAGUUGGGAAAUGUUGCUAUAAAGGCAUUUUUUUGUAUCUAAAUGAAUUUUCCAAUGCUGUCGUAUUGCUGAGAAAUUUUGUGUACACAAAAAUUUUAAGUAGGAAAUUUUUUUUUCAAAAACUAAAGUGAUGAAAUAUACAAUAGUAUCCUUUUUAGAUAUCACUCAGCCCCACAACCACUUGUGAGUAUAAAACCUUGACUGCGUUAAUAUGCCCCACAAUAUCUGAACAAUGUCAUCUCUGAAAUUGAACUGUUGAUGCAUUGUGAUCCAUUUACUGCAAUAUAUGGCAAUAGCCUUUUGAUCCAAUAUUUGGAAUACAUUAAUUUCCAAUAUACAAAAAAUAGAAAUAUACAAUUAUAUACAAAUAUAUAAAAAUAUACAAAUAUAUGCACAAAAAAUAUACAAAUAUAUACACAAAACAUAUGCUAUAUACAAAUGUAUACAAAUAUAUACACAAAAAUAUAUACAAAUACACAAAAAUAUACAAAUAUAUAAAUAUACAUAUAUAUCAAAAUAUAUACACAAAAAUAUGCAAUAAUUUGGAAAUAAUUGGGCCUAUUUCUCUUUGUCUUUAUACUGUGCCAAGAGAUGCUAAUGUCUUAAACUCAGCCUUUUGACAGUGAUAAUUUAAUUUUUAAAGUGUUGCUUUCAAAAUCUCCCACCACACUAAUUUUGGCCAUAUCAAAUUAAAAACCAUCAGACUAGUUUAUAUUAACAAUUCCUAACAUUUAUAUCAAUCUGACUAUCCAACAGUCAAUAUCAUAACACUUUUACAUACAUUAAGUAGUUUAAGCUCUUUGAACACCUGUCAAGUUUGGAACUAGUAUGGUCUCCAAUUUAUUUAUAAGACACUGAAACACCAAGAAGUCAAAUGACCUACCUCAUGUCAACAAACCACCAAGUGGCAAUACCCAAAUCAGAAGCCUGCUUCCAGGUCCUAUUUGUCUGAUUUCUCUUGUUUAUAGCAGAAUGCCUGAAACUGGUUAUUUAUAAAGAAAAGGAAUUUAUUUCUUACAGUUAUGGAGGCUGAGAAGUUCAAUGUUGAGGAGCCGUAUCAGGUGAGAGUUGGUAGGGACUCUUUGAAUAGUCCUAAGGCAGCACAGUCGGCCAGCAGACUGAGGAUGCUCGUGGGCUUGCUCCCUUCUGUCAUCCGCUUCUCAUAAAGACACCAGUUCCACUCCAUGAUAACCCAUUAUUCCAUGAAUCCAUGAAGAGAUUAAUCCAUUUGUAAGGGCAGAGCCUCAUGAUUCAAUCACCUCUUAAAGAUCCUGCCUUUCAAUACUGCCAUAUAUUUUAUGAUGGC
rnacentral:lncRNA from 1 species